rnacentral:rRNA from 1 species
GAUGAACGCUGGCGGCGUGCUUAACACAUGCAAGUCGAACGGAAAGGCUCCUGCUUGCAGGGGUACUCGAGUGGCGAACGGGUGAGUAACACGUGGGUGAUCUGCCCUGCACUUCGGGAUAAGCCUGGGAAACUGGGUCUAAUACCGGAUAGGACGAUGGUUUGGAUGCCAUUGUGGAAAGUUUUUUCGGUGUGGGAUGAGCUCGCGGCCUAUCAGCUUGUUGGUGGGGUAAUGGCCUACCAAGGCGUCGACGGGUAGCCGGCCUGAGAGGGUGUACGGCCACAUUGGGACUGAGAUACGGCCCAGACUCCUACGGGAGGCAGCAGUGGGGAGUAUUGCACAAUGGGCGCGAGCCUGAUGCAGCGACGCCGCGUGGGGGAUGACGGCCUUCGGGUUGUAAACUCCUUUCGCUAGGGACGAAGCGCAAGUGACGGUACCUGGAGAAGAAGCACCGGCUAACUACGUG